rnacentral:rRNA from 1 species
UACGGAGGGUGCAAGCGUUGCUCGGAAUUAUUGGGCGUAAAGGGUAGGUAGGUGGUCUCAUUUGUCUGAGGUGAAAGCCUUGGGCUUAACUCAAGAAGUGCCUCAGAAACGGUGAGACUAGAGUCCUGGAGAGGGUCGUGGAAUUCCCGGUGUAGCGGUGAAAUGCGUAGAUAUCUGGAGGAACACCGGUGGCGAAGGCGGCAUCCUGGACCGAGAUUGACGCUGAGGCGCGAAAGCCAGGGGAGCAAACGGG